GAUGAACGCUGACAGAAUGCUUAACACAUGCAAGUCGAUGGGGAAGUGGUGCUUGCACCAUGGUAACCAUGGCGGACGGGUGAGUAACGCGUAAGGAACUUGCCUGCGGGACUGGGAUAACAGCAGGAAACUGCUGAUAAUACCGGAUAAGGUCAUUAAGCUGCAUAGCUUAGUGAUGAAAGGAGACGCCUGCGGAGAGCCUUGCGUCCUAUUAGCUAGUUGGAGGGGUAACGGCCCACCAAGGCGAAGAUAGGUAGCCGGCCUGAGAGGGUGGACGGCCACAAGGGGACUGAGAUACGGCCCUUACUUCUACGGGAGGCAGCAGUGGGGAAUAUUGGACAAUGAGGGCAACCCUGAUCCAGCAAUUCUGUGUGCACGAAGACGGUUUUCGGAGUGUAAAGUGCUUUCAGCAGGGAAGAAGGAAGUGACGGUACCUGCAGAAGAAGCGACGGCUAAAUACGUG
rnacentral:rRNA from 1 species